rnacentral:rRNA from 1 species
AUACGGAGGGUGCAAGCGUUAUCCGGAAUCACUGGGUUUAAAGGGUGCGUAGGCGGCCAGAUUAGUCAGUAGUGAAAGGUUGCAGCUUAACUGUAAGACUGCUAUUGAAACUGUAUGGCUUGAAUUAGGAUGAGGUAGGCGGAAUGUGACAUGUAGCGGUGAAAUGCUUAGAUAUGUCAUAGAACACCGAUUGCGUAGGCAGCUUACUAGACCUAUAUUGACGCUGAGGCACGAAAGCGUGGGGAGCGAACAGGAUUAGAAACCCGUGUAGUCC